UUUCAGUGGCCAUUUUCACAUGUAGCACUGACUGGAUUGCAAAAUCCAAUUCGGUGCUCAUGUGAAGGUGACUUCUGCUUGC
rnacentral:pre_miRNA from 1 species